rnacentral:lncRNA from 1 species
AGUUCUAUAAGAGAGCGUGUGCCGAAGGCCUCGGCCUUUCACAUUCGGGAAGCGUCGGGAUUAGGUGAAAGUACGUAGUUGUCUUUCGAAGCUGAGCUGAACACAUUACGAUGGAUGAUGGAAACAUAAGACUAUCAAGAAAUCCAAGUGGUAAUGGGCGAAGUUUAUUCAGCAUCCGGCAAUGGACUUAUCGUAGUUGGGGAAACGGGUGUUCCGAAUAAUAUCCUGGAAGUUAUCAGGACACCUAUUUUAAAUAUAGGCCUGAAUUUUGUAAAGUAAUAUUUAAGGUGGUCCGUGAUAAUUAAAUAAAAUGCUUAAUUCAUGUGGCUA